GAUGAAGAACGUAGCGAAAUGCGAUACUUGGUGUGAAUUGCAGAAUCCCGUGAACCAACGAGUCUUUGAACGCAAGUUGCGCCCGAAGCCAUUAGGCCGAGGGCACGCCUGCCUGGGCGUCACACGUCGUUGCCCCCCCCAUCUACUCCUUCGGGAUUGCGGGGGGCGGAUGAUGGCCUCCCGUGCGCCUCGCCGCGCGGUUGGCAUAAAUGCCAAGUCCUCGGCGACGCACGCCACGACAAUCGGUGGUUGCGAAACCUCGGUUGCCCGUCGUGUGCGGUCGUCGCGCAUCGAGGGCUCGAAAAAAUUGCCGAGUUCCGGCUCGGCUUUCAACGCGACCCCAGGUCAGGCGGGGUUACCCGCUGAAUUUAAGCAUAUCAAUAAGCGGAGGA
rnacentral:misc_RNA from 1 species